AUUGAACGCUGGCGGCAGGCUUAACACAUGCAAGUCGAGCGGGGGAAGGUAGCUUGCUACCGGACCUAGCGGCGGACGGGUGAGUAAUGCUUAGGAAUCUGCCUAUUAGUGGGGGACAACAUCUCGAAAGGGAUGCUAAUACCGCAUACGUCCUACGGGAGAAAGCAGGGGAUCUUCGGACCUUGCGCUAAUAGAUGAGCCUAAGUCAGAUCAGCUAGGUGGUGGGGUAAAGGCCUACCAAGGCGACGAUCUGUAGCGGGUCUGAGAGGAUGAUCCGCGACACUGGGACUGAGACACGGCCCAGACUCCUACGGGAGGCAGCAGUGGGGAAUAUUGGACAAUGGGGGGAACCCUGCUCCAGCCAUGCGGCGUGUGUGAAGAAGGCCUUAUGGUUGUAAAGCACUUUAAGCGAGGAGGAGGCUACUUUAGUUAAUACCUAGAGAUAGUGGACGUUACUCGCAGAAUAAGCACCGGCUAACUCUGUGCCAGCCGCCGCCGUAA
rnacentral:rRNA from 1 species